GGCAACUUGGCCGAGCGGUCUAAGGCGCCAGACUCAAGAUACGGGGUUCCACCUUCAACUCUUCCCCAUUCAAUUGGGUGCUUCCUUCUGGUCGCGAAAGAGGCGUGAGUUCGAAUCUCACAGUUGUCA
rnacentral:tRNA from 1 species